rnacentral:lncRNA from 1 species
CUGAGUUACCUCAUUAAGAGCAGUGCCGCAGCUGAGGGGACCAGCCGUGCCUGAAAGGCCGACAGGAAAGGCCGGGUGAGGAGGGAGGCCGGCCGUACCUGCUUCUCAUCCAUAUCACAUCGCCCCAGAACAAUUCCUCUUUCACAAUUUUAAAAGGGCCUUGCUCUGUCGGCCAGCCUGGAGUGCAGUGGCACCACCAUGGUCUCUGCAGCCUCAAACUCCCAGCCUUGAGCGAUUCUCCCACGUCAGCCUUUCAUGUAGCUGGGACUACAGACACAGUUGACCAUAUGCUGAAAAGAAAGAGCCACGGCUUUCCGUCUCCCCGACUUCCCCGUCCAUGUCAGCCUAAGGAUGAACACAGGAGCUCAUUCUCACAAAAAUGAGAAAGUAGGAUGAGCCUGCAGAGGUGGGGAUCCAAGGCCCUGUGAGUAGAACGGCAGAGCCUUUAGGGGCUGGACCAACCGGGAGAGCCGAGGACGGGCAGUGCCAUGGGCUCCCACCGGGGAUGCAGGCAUGACGGCGGCCAGCAGGGCUCACGCGUCACUCUCCAGGCACCCGAGGUGUCUGAGAACACUGCCUUCUUUCAUCUGCAUGAUUGUAUCAAGUCGUCACUGCUGUUCAUCUUACAGAUAAGACAUUUGAAUCCUGUGCAGUUUCCAAAGCUAAAUAGUGACAGAACCUUCAGGGGACACAGUGCAAUGACCACUGCCCUGGGCAGCCGUGGAGUGGAGUUUGCAAGUUUCAGGAGCCGGCUGGGAGGACUCAGCUUCCAAAACCGGAGGGGCCAUGGCUGGGCCUGGUGUCCGCUCUCACCCUGGGCGGGCAUGACAUCUGCCCUGAGAUCCCUCAGACAAGUGAAACUGACUGCAGCCACCACAGCAAGCUGCAAGCAGGGCUUCCUCCAGCCCGGCCUCAGUGAGGAGGAGCCAGGAAGAGAGAGCAACACCAUAUCCUAUUCCUUGUCUUCAAGAACUGCAUGA